AUUGAACGCUGGCGGCAUGCUUUACACAUGCAAGUCGAACGGUAACAGGCCUUCGGGUGCUGACGAGUGGCGAACGGGUGAGUAAUGCAUCGGAACGUACCCAGAGUUGGGGGAUAACGCAGCGAAAGCUGUGCUAAUACCGCAUGUGAUCUGAGGAUGAAAGCGGGGGACCGAGCAGCAAUGUUUGGCCUCGCGCCUUUGGAGCGGCCGAUGUCGGAUUAGCUAGUUGGUGGGGUAAAGGCCUACCAAGGCGACGAUCCGUAGCUGGUCUGAGAGGACGACCAGCCACACUGGGACUGAGACACGGCCCAGACUCCUACGGGAGGCAGCAGUGGGGAAUUUUGGACAAUGGGCGCAAGCCUGAUCCAGCAAUGCCGCGUGCGGGAAGAAGGCCUUCGGGUUGUAAAACGCUUUUGGCAGGAACGAAACGGUGUCCGCUAAUACCGGGCGCUAAUGACGGUACCUGCAGAAUAAGCACCGGCUAACUACGUG
rnacentral:rRNA from 1 species